rnacentral:rRNA from 1 species
GAUGAACGCUGGCGGCGUGCCUAAUACAUGCAAGUAGAACGCUGAAGGAGGAGCUUGCUCUUCUGGAUGAGUUGCGAACGGGUGAGUAACGCGUAGGUAACCUGCCUGGUAGCGGGGGAUAACUAUUGGAAACGAUAGCUAAUACCGCAUGACAACAGUUAUUGCAUGAUAACUGUUUAAAAGGGGCAACUGCUCCACUACCAGAUGGACCUGCGUUGUAUUAGCUAGUUGGUGAGGUAACGGCUCACCAAGGCGACGAUACAUAGCCGACCUGAGAGGGUGAUCGGCCACACUGGGACUGAGACACGGCCCAGACUCCUACGGGAGGCAGCAGUAGGGAAUCUUCGGCAAUGGACGGAAGUCUGACCGAGCAACGCCGCGUGAGUGAAGAAGGUUUUCGGAUCGUAAAGCUCGGUUGUAAGAGAAGAACGAGUGUGAGAGUGGAAAGUUCACACUGUGACGGUAGCUUACCAGAAAGAGACGGCUAACUACGUG